UCGAUUUCAAAAAUCAUGAGGGUUCAAGUCCCUCUUACCCA
rnacentral:tRNA from 1 species